UCUGGUUGAUCCCUCUGGAGGUCACCGCUAUUGGAAUCCGAUUAAGCCAUGUCAGUCUAAAGGACUUCGGUCCUUGGCAGACGGCUCAGUAACACGCGGAUAAUCUGCCCUUGGGUGGGGAACAAUCUCGGGAAACUGAGCAUAAUUCCCCAUAGGUAUAGAAUGCUGGAAUGCUUCUAUGCUCAAAGCCCCGGCGCCCAAGGAUGAGUCUGCGGCCUAUCAGGUAGUAGUGGGUGUAAAGGACCCACUAGCCUUUGACGGGUACGGGCCUUGAGAGAGGUCGCCCGGAGAUGGACUCUGAGACACGAGUCCAGGCCCUACGGGGCGCAGCAGGCGCGAAAACUUCGCAAUGGGGGAAACCACAACGAGGGGAUUCCAAGUGCCAUGGCAAUGCUAUGGCUGUUCAUGUGCCUAAAAGCACGUGAAGUAAGGGCUGGGUAAGACGGGUGCCACCCGCCGCGGUAAAACCCGCAGCCCUAGUGGGUGAUCGCUAUUAUUGAGCCUAAAGCGUCCGUAGCCGGUCUGAUAAAUCCUUGGGUAAAUCGGUCAGCUCAACUGCCCGAAGUCCGAGGUGACUGUCAGACUUGGAACCGGAAGAGGUCAGAGGUACUCCGGGGGUAGGGGUGAAAUCCUGUAAUCCUCGGGGGACCACCAGUGGAGAAGGCGUCUGACUAGAACGGAUUCGACGGUAAGGGACGAAGCCCUGGGGCGCAAACCGGAUUAGAUACCCGGGUAGUCCCAGGGUGUAAACGCUGCAGGCUUGGUGUCGGGGGUCCUACGAGGGCACUCGGUGCCGGAGAGAAGUUGUUAAGCCUGCCGCUUGGGGAGUACGGUCGCAAGACUGAAACUUAAAGGAAUUGGCGGGGGAGCACAGCAACGGGAGGAGCGUGCGGUUCAAUUGGAUUCAACGCCGUAAAACUCACCGGGAGCGACGGUUACAUGAAGGUCAAGCUGAUGACUUUACCUGAUUUUCCGAGAGGUGGUGCAUGGCCGCCGUCAGUUCGUACCGUAAGGCGUUCUGUUAAGUCAGAUAACGAACGAGACCCUCACUCUUAAUUGCCAGCCUUCCCUCCGGGGAAGGGGAACAUUAAGAGAACCGCUGGCGCUAAGUCAGAGGAAGGCGAGGUCAACGGUAGGUCAGUAUGCCCCGAAUCUCCCGGGCUACACGCGCGCUACAAAGGACAGGACAAUGGGAUUCAACACCGAAAGGUGAAGGCAACCUCGAAACCUGUCCGUAGUUCGGAUUGAGGGCUGUAACUCGCCCUCAUGAAGCUGGAUUCCGUAGUAAUCGCGGAUCAACAUCCCGCGGUGAAUAUGCCCCUGCUCCUUGCACACACCGCCCGUCAAACCAUCUGAGUUGGGUCUGGAUGAGGGCACUCUUGAUUGGGGUGUUCGAAUCUAGGUUCAGCAAGGAGGGUUAAGUCGUAACAAGGUAGCCGUA
rnacentral:rRNA from 1 species